rnacentral:lncRNA from 1 species
UGACCAGGGUUGUGACCAUAAUGUGGUGGCUUCUCUCCCUUAGGUGGUUUGCCAACUGGGGUUGGUGGCUUGUAUGAGUCUUCAGCAUUCUCAGCAGGAGGGUGACCAGGGUUGUGACCAUAAUGUGGUGGCUUCUCUCCCUUAGGUGGUUUGCCAACUGGGGUUGGUGGCUUGUGUUCUGGGAGUGGCUUCUCCCCCUUGGGAGGUUUUUCCAAUGGGGUUGGUUUGUGUUCAGGAGGUGGCUUCUCCACUGGAGGCUUGUGUUCAGGAGGUGGCUUCUCCACCGGUGGCUUGUGUUCAGGAGGUGGCUUCUCCACCGGAGGCUUAUGCUCUGGUGGUGGCUUCUCCACCGGAGGCUUAUGCUCUGGUGGUGGCUUCUUGAAUGGGGGAUGCUGAGGGUAAUCAGCAAGUGAGGGGGCGGUGAGAACCACCAGGCCAAGCAACACCACUAGCAAAUAUGUAGGAGACAUCUUUGGGUUUGGGCUCAGAUGGUGCAAAACUAGGAGAAUUGGCUAGCCUUUUAUAGCGGAUCGUACUCAAUAAUGAAAUGACACGUGUCAUUAUGACCCAUGUGUAAUGGGGUCGAUUUGGGUCCUACAGUGUUGAAAACUUCGACAUCCAGUUUUGGCCUUUUGCUUUCUCUACAGCCGCCUUGCUUUUUCCCUCUUUCCUUUUGUUUUCCUCCUGCCCCAUUCUAUCAACUAAACACAAUUAUGUAGUUGUUUAAUUCUUAAAUGAGAUAUUAUCGGUCAAUCGUAUUAUAUUUUAUCAAGAGAGAACGGAGUGCAAUGCAGCUGUAAUUUUAUCGUUUACUUUUAUCUCUUGGACCACUGCAUUUUUGUUAAGAGGUGCAAUAAUACACGUCUUUAUCUGCCAUUCAAUGUUUACAGUAAAGAGAGGGCACAAAACUCUUCACUGCUCUGCAUGUGUCCCAAAAAUGCGAUUGGACAAAUUAUGAUUUGCAUGCUAAAAAGAGGCAAAUGAGGUUAAUUCGCACCAUAAUUAUUUGGUUUUCUGGACACCAUAAAAAGAUGUUAUACAGGCAGGGAAAAACCUUCAGAGUUAGCUACCAAAGAUAAUUAUCAAGCAGAUAUCACCAAGAGAAUUCCAUAGAGUCUGAAUCAAAGACAGAUUGCUCGCUCGUGGGGGUUCUUACUUUCUUUUGGGUAUAACUCACUGAGGUCACUGUCUUUUUUAUUUGCAUUUCACAGUUAGAGUUCUGCUCUGGAAGGUUUGUUCUGGAAACAUAUAAAAGGAGCAUCAUUUUGUUCUUGGGUAACCCAUAGUCGUGAGUGGGUCCAUUUGCAUGCUACUUAGUUGAAAAGUUGGACAAUUUGCUCCGACGCCUACCUCCUGGAUUCCAUGCUCGGUAAAACAAGAAUAAAAAAAAAUAUAUAAUUUACAAAUGGGGGAAAGAAAAAAUGUCGGAAAAAAUAGUAAAAUUCAUGUCACAUGCUAGUGAGAGAAGGGGUUGUUACACUCACUCGAAGUUCUUUUCAAAAUAUCGAAUGGUAUUUUACUUUAUGUGUCAGCGCAGUUGUGAAUGGAACGUGCAAAAGUCCAAAUUGGCGUUUUUAUUUUUCCCAUGUAGGAUGGUGACCUUUAAUAAAUAUUUAAAACAAAAGACGAAAAAAAAAAGGAGGGAAAAGGGAUCACAAAAGAUAAAAUAAUGUUUACAAAAGCUCAAUUAGUUUGCAAAUUACUGUUUGGAUUUUGAUAGUAUUUUAUUUGUCGUUCUAUAUUUGAUGUAAAAGAGAAUUUAAGAUAUUUCCGAAGCAAAAGCAUUAGUUUGCUCUGUGAUGUCCCACAUCGAAUAGGGGAGAAAGUUUCUGGCGCUAUAUAUGUAGAGGCUCCUCUUAACCAAGUAGAUGCGUUUUAAAACCAUGAGGGCCCCCUUAGGUCCAAAGCGGACAAUAUCUACAUGAUUGGGUGUAAGUCAUUACAAAUGGUAUCAGAGCCGAUCCCCGACCCCGGUGUGGGGGUUUGUUUGGCCCUGUAAGGGGUGUUUGUCUGUUUGACCCCACAAUCCCAUGGGACACAACGAGGACGUUGUGUCUGCAUGGGGGGGCGUUUGUGAUGUCCCACAUCGGAUAGGGGAGAAAGUUCCUAGUGCUAUAUAUGUAGAUGUUUCUCUUAACCAAGUAGAUGCAUUUUAAAAUUGUGAGGGCCUCUUUGGGCCCAAAGCGGACAAUAUCUACAUGGUUGAGUGUAAGUCAUUACAUGCUCCAUGUCAAUUUCAGCAUUUCUCAUAUGUUUCACACAUACACAGAAGAGCAUCGUUUUUUAAAGCAUGCAUUUAUGUUGGAUUAAUUUGGAUUUUGUGGGAACUGGGGCAAGGAUCACAUGGAAGAGAGGUUGACUUUUUUCAGUACUUCAAUGGUUGAAAUAUGUGAAGGCUUGAUUGAUACUAAAGCUUGAAAUUGCGACUCUGUCAUUUGUAAAAAAAUAUGACAGCUUCCAUGCUCUCGUUUGGUUGCAUUGUCCGGUCGAGAGGUGCAAAAAGCAUUCUCUCUCUUCUAAUAGUCUUUUCGUUUAAAUCAAGGGAUUUGCCUUCCCGGUCGAGGUCCAAUAGAGGGUAACGGUCACCUACUAAACAUUAAAUGCUCCAACAACUAGUGAACUGAUCGACCCCAGCUCGACUAGUUGAGGUUACUUUUUGGUUUUCUUGUCUCCCGAGGUUAGAAACCUAUAAAUAGAGAGCUUCACUUCAUUUAUGAGUAAGAGAACACCUAAAUUUAUUUGUUUACCUACUUGUUUUUGCCAUAAAAGCUCUCAUUUCUUUUCUUGGUGUAUUAAAUCUCCAUUUGCAUAUCCUUUAGUGCACCUUUGUGAUUCAUUCUAGCCUUGAGUUGUAUUUAAGCCUUUGUUGAGCUAGGUUGAGAGUUUCAUACUUGUUUAUUGAGUGUUAAAGCCUUCAAGUGAGUUAAAACUUGAAGAGAUUGUGUAAGAGCCCAUUGGAGUCGGAAUCCAAGUGUAAAGGUGAUUAAAAGCUUGGUUGAAGCUUCAAGUUAGUGGAACUCUCACUCGGUUAUGAGCUUGAGAAGAGUGGACAUAGACAAGGCAGUGUCGAACCACUAUAAAAUCUGAGUUUGAUUUCUCUAACCUUAUCUCUUUAUAUUUGCUUCUCUUGUGCUUAAAUUUUUUGUGUUUAAAAAGAAUUUUUAAAAACUCAAUUCACCCCCUUCUUGGGAGUUUUUCUCUUUUAAGAUCAGCUUUUAUUUUCUCAAUUGGUAUCAGAACUAUGCCUCUUGUUUAAGACUUAAUCGUCUAAGAGGAAAUGGCUAAUCCAUCAAGUUCAUCUCACAUUGAAAGUUUUGCAACCAAUAGACUUCUUUUUUUUUUUUUGCGGGAACUGAUUAUCCCUAUUGGAAAACUAAAAUGACUUGGUUUUUACAAUCAAUUGAUUUAGAUGUAUGAGAUGCCAUUGAAGAUGACCUAACUUUUCCUUCAAAACUAGUUGAUGGAGUCAUGGUUCCAAAACCUAAGCAAGAAUGGGAUGAGCGUGAUUGAAGAAAUUUUCAAUUAAAUGCUAAAGUCGUUUAUACUUUGCAAUGCUCUAUGGACAGAAAUGAAUAUAAUAGAAUAUGUCAAUGCAAAUCGGUUAAAGAAAUUUGGAGAUUGCUUGAAAUAACUCAUAAAGGAACAAAUCAAGUUAAAGAGUCAAAAAUCAAUUUACUUGUUCAUAGAUAUGAAUUGUUUUUUAUGAAAGAUAAUGAAACUAUUGUUAAGAUGAUCACUAGGUUCACCAACAUUGUUAAUGGUCUUAAAGCCUUGGGAAAGACCUACAAGGAAUCCGAAAACGUGAUGAAGAUCUUGAGGUCACUUCCAUCAAAGUGGCAUACCAAGGUCACCGCAAUUUAAGAAGCAAAAGACUUGAUCAAGCUACCUUUGGAGGAGUUCAUAGGGUCAUUGAUGACAUAUGAAAUCAAUUUGGCAAAGAAGUAACAAAAAGGUGAAGACAAAAAGAAGAAGAACAUAACUCUCAAAGCUACAACUAAGGAAGAAGAAGUUGAAGAAGAAAAACAAAUUGAAGAAGAUGAAGAUUUAGCCCUCAUCACAAGAAAGUUCAACAAAUUCAUGAGGGGUGAAAGGUUUAGAAGAAGAAGGUUCACUUCUAGAAGAGACUUUUCUAAAAAGGAAUCUUCAUCUAAUGGUGACAAAAAGAGAUGGGAAGAGAAAAGAGACUUGGUGUGUUUCAAGUGCAAGAAACCGGGACACAUUAAAUAUGAUUGUCCUCUCUACAAAAGUGAAGUCAAGAGGAAAAAGAAUAAGGCAAUGAUGGCCACUUAGAGUGAAAGUGAAGAUGAAUCAUCCGAAGAAGAAAAUGAGAAAGAAGUGGCAAACAUGUGUUUCAUGGCAAUAGAUGAACUUGAUGAGGUAAAAUCUAACCUUAGUGAUUAAGAUAUACAUGAUGCAUUUGAAGAAUUGUAUGAGGAUUUUUAAAAACUUAGUUUGAAAAAUAUUUCUCUUAAAAAGAAAGUUCAACAACUUGACAAAGAACUUAGAGAAGUAAAAGAAAAAUUUUCAAAUGUUAAAGUUUCUAAAACUCAUCUUGAAAAAGAAAAUGAGAUUCUAAGAAAGAAAAAUGAAUAGUUGAACUCCUCUCUUUCAAUCUUUUCUUCUAGACAAAAAUCUUUUGAAAUGAUUCUAACUAGCUAAAAAUGUGUUUUUGACAAACAAGGGUUAAGAUUUAAAUCUUCAAAAAAUCAAAAGUAUUUUAAAAACUAUUUUGUAAAGGAAUCCACAAGUGCAAGUCCUUCCACUACUUGCAACUUUUGUGGAAGAGAAUGGCACAUUAGUAGUACGCCCUUUAAGAAAUGGUUCUCAAAAGAAUUUAAAUGCAAAAACUAAAAAAGAUUUGGAUUGAGAAAUCCAAGGUCACUAACCCUCAAGGACCCAAAAAGAUAUAGGUACCUAAAUCAACUUGAGUUUUAUGUUGUAAGGUUCAAAGAAUGAUAAGUGGUUCUUAGAUAAUGGUUGCUCAAGACACAUGACCGGAGAUGAAUCCAAGUUUGCUUUUCUUAAAAAGAAAAAUGGAGGAUAUGUUACCUUUGGAGACAAUGCAAAAGAAAGGAUGAUUGGUCAAGGCAACAUUGGUAAUGGCACAUCCUCUCUCAUUGAAAGUGUUUUAUUAGUAGAUGGUUUCAAACAUAACCUUUUAAGCAUUAGUCAAUUUUGCGACAAAGGUUUUUAAGUGAUUUUUUAAGCAUCUCAUUGCAUCAUCAAGGAUAUUCAAAAUGAUAAAACCAUUUUCAUGGGCCAUAGAUGUGAUAAUGUUUAUGCUAUAAAUAUUUCAAAAUAUGAUGGCCAUGAUAGAUGUUUUUCAAGCAUGCAUGAUCAAAGUUGGUUGUGCCAUAGGAGAUUGAGACAUGCUAACAUAGACCUCAUUUCCCAACUCAACAAAGAUGAACUUGUUAGAGGCCUUCCCAAAAUAAUUUUUUAAAAAGAUAAAGUUUGUGAAGCUUGUCAAGUGGGAAAGUAAAUCAAAAACUCUUUUAAAAACAAAAACUUCAUUUCCACAUCUAGGCCACUUGAGUUGUUGCAUAUGGAUUUAUUUGGUCCCUCUAGGACACCAAGUCUUAGAGGAAAUUCUUAUGCAUAUGCUAUUGUGGACGACUUCUCUAGAUACACAUGAGUCUUGUUUUUUAGUCAAAAGAAUAAAGUUUUUUAUGAGUUUUCAAAGUUUUGCAAUAAGAUUCAAAAUGAAAAAGGUUUUUCAAUUACUUAUAUAAGAAGUGAUCAUGGGAGAGAAUUCGAAAAUAUUGAUUUUGAAGAGUAUUGCAAUGAGCAUGGAAUUGACCACAAUUUUUUGGCUCUUAGAACUCCUCAACAAAAUGGGGUAGUUGAAAGGAAAAAUAGAACUCUUCAAAAAAUGACAAGAACCAUACUAAAUGAAAACAACUUACCAAAAUAUUUUUAGGCCAAAACGGUUAACACUUCUUGUUAUGUUUUAAAUAGAGUAUUAUUGAGGCUCAUACUUAAGAAAACUCCCUAUGAGCUUUGGAAAAACAAAAAACCCAACAUUAGUUAUUCCAAAGUCUUUGGAUGCAAUAUUUUAUAAUAAACACCAAAGACAAUCUUGGAAAAUUUGAUGCAAAAUUGGAUGUUGGAAUUUUCCUUGGUUACUCAACUUCAAGUAAAGCUUUUCGAGUUUUAACAAAAGAACCAUGGUUGUAGAGGAGUCCAUCCAUGUUAUUUUUUAUGAAUCUCCAAGAAAGAGAGAGGAUUGAUGAUGAUUUAGGUUUGAAGACCUCUAUAGGAAGAUUGCAAAUCGAAGAUAGAAGACAACAAGAAGAAAAUGGAGAGAAUCCAAAGAAAGAAGGAUCACCAUUGGCACUACCCCCUCAUCAACAAGCGCAAGGUGAAUCAAGUCAAGAGCUUCCUAAAGAAUGGAAGUUUGUCAUCAAUCACCCACAAGAUCAAAUUAUAGGCAAUCCAUCUAGUGGGGUAAGAACUAGAUCCUCUCUUAGAAAUAUUUGCAAUAAUCUAGCUUUUAUCUCUCAAAUUGAGCCUAAAAAUAUAAAUGAUGUUUUAGAUGAUGAAAAUUGGAUAAUUGCAAUGCAAGAAGAGUUAAAUCCAUUUGAAAGAAGUGGAGUAUGGGAAUUAGUACCAAGACCUUCAAAUCAAAGUGUUAUUGGAACUAGAUGGAUCUUUAGAAAUAAAAUGGAUGAAAAUAGCAUAAUUGUUAGAAAUAAAGCAAGAUUGGUAGCCCAAGGUUUUAAUCAAGAAGAAAUGAUAGAUUAUGAAGAAACCUUUGCCCCCGUAGCUAGGUUGGAAGCCAUUAGGAUGCUACUUGCCUUUGCAUGUUUUAAAGACUUUGUUUUAUAUCAAAUGGAUGUGAAAAGUGCUUUUUUAAAUGGUUUUAUAAAUGAAGAAGUAUAUGUUGAACAACCACCCGGUUUUCAAAGUUUCAACUUUCCUAACCAUGUUUUUAAACUUAAAAAGACACUUUAUGGUUUGAAACAAGCACCUAGAUCAUGGUAUGAAAAAUUGAGUAAAUUUCUUUUGAAAAAAAUGUUUUAAAAUGGGAAAAAUUGACACAACUCUUUUUAUAAAAACCAAAGAAAAUGAUAUGCUCUUAGUUCAAAUAUAUAUUGAUGAUAUCAUUUUUGGUGCUACUAAUGUCUCUCUUUAUGAAGAAUUUUCUAAGUGCAUGCAUAGUGAGUUUGAAAUGAGCAUGAUAGGAGAACUCAACUUCUUCCUUGGACUUCAAAUCAAGCAACUAAAGGAAUGAACCUUCAUCAAUCAAGCAAAGUAUAUAAGAGAUCUUCUCAAAAGGUUCAACAUGGAAGAAGCCAAAACAAUGAAGACUCUAAUGAGCUCAUCCAUUAAGCUUGAUAAGGAUGAGAAAGGUAAAUCCAUUGACUCUAUUAUGUAUAGAGGCAUGAUAGGUUCUUUGCUCUAUUUGACCACUAGUAGACCUUACAUUAUGUAUAGUGUGUGUUUGUGUACUAGAUUUCAAUCUUGUCUUAAAAAAUCUCACUUAAGUGUCGUGAAAAGAAUCCUCAAAUAUUUGAAAGGGACAAUGGACAUAGGCUUAUGGUAUCCUAAGAGUGAUAACUUUGAAUUAAUUGGUUUUUUGGAUGCUGAUUUUGUCAGUUGUAGGGUUGAAAAAUAAAACACUAGUGGCACUUUUCAUUUCUUAAGACACUUACUUGUCUCAUGGCAUAAUAAGAAGCAAAAUUUGGUAGCUUUGUCAACAGCAGAAGCUAAAUACAUAGCAACUGGUUUAUGUUGUGCACAAAUCCUUUGGAUGAAAUAAACACUUAGUGAUUUUGAUUUAUCUUUUGAGCAUAUUCCUAUUAAAUGUGAUAAUAGUAGUGCCAUAAGUAUAUCAAAAAAUCUCGUGCAACACUCUAGGACUAAGCAUAUAGAGAUUAGACAUAAUUUUCUUAGAUAUCAUACACAAAAGGAUGAUAUAACACUUGAAUUUGUAAGCAUAAAAGACCAACUUGCCGAUAUCUUUACAAAACCUCUAAGAACAUUUUGUUGAUAUUAGAGGACAAUUAGGAGUGAUUUCUUUAUGAUCUAAUGUGAUGAAUUCUUGAUGAAUAUACUUUUUGAUUGCAUGAAUUUCAUGUCAUAUAUGCAUCAUAUAGAAAUAUACUUAGAUAAUGGUCAAAUUUCGACCAAAAAUCAAAAUUCCCAUGGCAUUAGGCAUAAAAAUUUUGGAAUUUCAACUGAAAAUGGUAGGAGGAGGAUCACAAAAUGAGAAAGUAUGCAAAAAUUGAAAAAUCAAAACGUUGACCAAGCGGUCAAUCGGACUAGACCGAUCGACUAGUUUGUCGAGAUUUAGGAUUUUUAAGAGACUCCAACGCUUCAAUUUUUGCACCGUUCUCCUCUAUUUCUUCACGGUUUCUCUGAUUUUGUCUUUUAGAGACUAAUUUGAGUGCGUUUUGGAUCAAUUGAAGCAUUUUGGAUUGGAUUUUAGGAAGAUUGAAAGUUAAGGUUUCGGAUUUGGGUCGCCUUCUCUUCCUCUCGCGUGUCACAAUCAGCUUUAGCAUUGUUCUCUUUCCAUUUUCACACACCUAGGGUUUCAGUUGUGAGCAUCUCUCUCUCUUUACCAACCACUACUCCCUUGCUUCUUCCAUAUGGCUCCUAGGCGAGAGUCCGCUACUUCUAGGGCACAAGGCAAGCACCCAACUGAGUCGUCUCAGUCAAAGGCACGUCGAAAAGUGAGAUUUGACAUUGCCUUGUUCAGUUCCAUGGAGGACUACCAACUAUACAAGCAACACUUUGCUUAGAGACGAGUAGUUCCCAAGAGAAAUAUUAAUUUUCCUCAACUUCAGCAUUUCGAAUUUAAGGGUCUAUUUACUAGGAUGGUUGGUUGUCUAUUGUCACAAUUUCGGAGCCGGUUUUCCUGACCUUAGUGCGAGUUUUUUACUCGAGGGCGACUUAUGGCAUGGGUGGCAUGAUCAUUUCUACUGUUGGAGGAGUUGAGAUCUGUCUGGACCCAGAGAGCAUCUGCCAUAUUUUCGAUAUUGCUCUGGUUGGACUCAAAGUAUACAAGUCCAAAAUGUGGCCCAUUGUGCCAGGAUUUGAGCUUAGAGAGGUCAUUCAGAGGAUUUGUGAACUUCCAGACGCCCAGGAGAUGGGCAAACCAUUGCCACACAGUUUGACGGUCAUCAACAGGGUGCUACACCAUAUAUUGUGCUCUAUCUUUCUACCACGAAGUGGACAUUGAGAUGAGGUCUCUUAUUAUGAGGCAUUCCUUAUUGACUCCAUUCUAACGGAGAGACGAAUUCAUCUACUAUGUCAUCAUUCACUAAGCCUCCUCACAGUGACAUACCACCUCAUCAGGCACCUCUUGCUCCUGACCAUGCUCCAUUGAUGGAUUUAUUUACUCAUAUUAGCUCUCUAGGCACUCGCAUGAAGGAGUUUGUUGUAGUUAGUGAUACAUGGUUCUACUCCAUAGAGGAUCGCAUGGAUCAGUAUCAGACUGGCUUCACGUCACAGUUUGAGUAUCUCCAAUAGAGGAUUGAGCAUAUUGAGGAUCACUUGAGCAUGAGAAGAUGAUGGCUUUUCUAUGCUCUGUGUUUCCACCUCCACCUCGUCAACCUUGAUUUCUUAGAGACCCAUUGUUUUCAUUUUGUAAUGUUGCCAAAAGGGGGAGAUAUUUAGGAUCUAGGACUCUAUAGGAGACUUACAUGCAUAUCAUUUUCAUAUCAUUGUUUGGAUCGUACAUAUUGGAUAGUGAUACUUUUUACUUAUAUAUGAUAUGCCUAUAUGUUUCAUGUCUUACAUUGUUUCUUAUUGCAAAUUAUCUCUAACAUGUCUUGAUUAUCUUUUUUUUAACUUCAUAAAUUUUGAUUGUUAACCCAUGAUUGGUUUGAGGGGAAGAUUCUUCUUCUCCUAGAUAACCAAGGUUUGUCAUCAUAAAAAAAUUGGAGAUUGUUAGCCCAAGGGUUCUCCUAAUCAUGUUUUGAUGAUAACAAACCAUGCUUAAGUUACUAAUUGGUUUGAAUUAUAAAGAAUUUCAAGUGUUAAUUUGAAAAUUCAUCAAAGAACCUAAUGGAUGCAAGAUCAAGAUUUUUGGAAGACCUUUAAUCAUAAGAAACAUAUGUAAGAUGAAUGCAUGGGUGCACUUAAGAUUUGCAUAUCAUUUCAUGCAUAUUUGGAAAACACGGUUUAUGCUUUAAAGUUACAUUUCCAUCAAAAUUUGAGAUCCAUCAAAUGAACCUUAGGAAAAAUGUUUUAAAAUUGGCAUAUAAUUUUACCUAAAGACCUUGCCUAAGUGUUAGAAGCAAAAGGACAAAAAAAAUAUAGGUUUUCUGGUCAAAAAUGGUGAACCAGUCAAGGCAUUGUCUAAAUCAGCUCAAUCGGCCAAGGUACCGGUCGAUCGGUUUCCCUUUCCCUGUCGAGAUCUAGUCAAGAGGUACAAAAAUCACAAUCUCUGUCUCUUUCUCUCUUUGUCUAUCUUCCAGUAGUCUUUCCUUCCCGGUCGAGGGAUUUGCCUUCCCGAUUGAGGUCCGAUUGAGAGUAAUAGUCACUUGCCAAAUAUUAAAUGCUCCAACAGUUAGUGAACUGGUCGACCCCCACCUUGCCCAGUUGAGGUUACUUUUUGGUUUUCUUGGCUCCCGAUGUUAGAAACCUAUAAAUAGAGAGUUCCACUUCAUUUAUGAGCAAGAGAACACUUGCAUUUAUUUGUUUACCUACUUGUUCUUGCCUUAAAAGCUCUCAUUUCUUUUCUUGGUGCAUUAAAUCUCCAUUUUGAUAUCCUUUAGUGCACCUUUGUGAUUCAUCUUAGCCUUGAGUUGUAUUUGAGCCCUUUUUUUAGCUAGGUUGAGAGUUUCAUACUUGUUAAUUGAGUGUUAAAGCCUUCAAGUGAGUUGAAACUUGUAGAGAUUAUGUGAGAGUCGAUUGGAGCCGAAAUCCAAGUGUAAAGGUGAUUAGAAGCUUGGUUGAAGCUUCAAGUUAGUGGAAUCCUCACUCAAUUAGGAGCUUGAGGAGAGUGGACGUAGCCAAGGAAGUGUCGAACCACUAUAAAAUUUGAGUUUGAUUUCUCUAACAUUGUCUCUUUAUAUUUGUUUAUCUUGUGCUUAAAUUUAUUGUGUUUAAAAAGAAUUUUUAAAUACCCAAUUCACCCCCCUCUUGGGUGUUUUUCUCUUUUAAAAUUAGCCUUUAUUUUCUCACAAACUAUUGUAGUAUAGUGGUUUUUAGGUGUCAUCCAUUAGGAUGAAUUGUUCUCGGUAAUUAAGGCGUGAAUGAGAGGAGAAUUAAUGAUUGUGAUUAAGUAAAAUUGAUUUGAAAAUUCAUGGUGAAAAAUCAAUUUAACAAUGGUUUCUAAUUGAGAAAAACAAUGAAAUGUGAAAUAAAAUAAAAUUAAUAGGAAAUGAAAUUCUCGAAGUUAGAAUUUUCUAAAAAACAAAUUCCAUGGUGAAUGGAUGUUGAGAUCUAAUUUUCAUCAAGUUAGAUUGAAAACCGAAAUUUUCAUAUAAACUGAUUUUUUAUUUAGUUUUAGGUCUAGAUUUAAUUUCCCUUAAAAUUAGGUUAUUUAAUCCAAGAAAUCAAUUCAAAUCAUAUAUUCAAUUCAUCUUAAAUUAUCUUCCAAUUAUUCACACAAUGCAACUAUUCAAUCUCAUCAAAUCUAGCUUUUAAGAAUUUAAUGAAUCUACCUAGUUUGCAUUGUAAUAGUCAUCCAUGACAAUUUGAAGAGAAAAAUAAUUCAAUUAAUCAAUCACUUGGAUCAAAUUACCUUUGCAAUUAAAGUUCAUUUCUCUAAUUCACCACAGAUUUUGUCUCUAGAUCCUCCUUUCUCAAAGAAAAAUGAGAUUUAGCCACACAUGAUUGGAGAUUUGGUCUCAUAAGGCAUGUUUAGCUAGUGAUAAAAUGAGAGAAAAUAAAGAAAAAUAGAGAAUUCGAUUAAGAAAGAAAAUCUAAAAAAUUCUACAAUUAGAAAUGUCCAAAAAGCUUUUUCAUGAGAAAAUCAAGUUUCUAUUUAUAGGCCAAGGUCAAGUGGACACUUGACAUCAUCUAAGAGGUCUUCCGGAAGCUUCUUCAUCAAGAAAUCUGGAGUUUAAUAAUAAAAUGGUCAUUUCACAAGAGCUCAAACAAUUUCGCAUGAUUAUGUGAAAUAAAAAAUGCAACAACAGCAAUUUACAUCUUCUUGGAGCAUUUCGCAUGACUGUGUGAAAUUUUCACAUGAUCAUGUGGAAUCGACUUGACAACUCUCAUUUAGCCUACAACAUAAUUCCACCUUUUGGUCCAUUUUUCAUAGUCAUGCGAAAUGGAAAUAUUUGAUUUUUAAGUUUUCUUUUGUCAUUUCUUUCAUUUCCUUCUCUUGAUUCCACUUCAACUACCUCCGAAUCCUGGUCCAAACCAAUUGCAUUACUUCUUUCAUUAUGCAUUUGGAUCAUCAUCAACAUUAUUUGUUCUCUUCAAUUUGAUUCAUCUCUUUUGUCACCAAUUUAUCAAAAUCAUACCUUGAAAUGACUCCAAAACUUCAUAAAACUUGUUAGUAACUCUUGCAAGGGCAACAACAUAUUAAUUAAGUGUUUUAGGCAUAGUUACUACUCAAAAGAUGCGAAACUCAUGAUAAUUAUUAUAUAAAAUAUGCUCUUUUUGAGUAGUAAUCAACUUUCUUGCAUAAGCAGACCUUUUAGGGUGGAGUACUAAAGACCAAUAUGCUUGUCCUUGUUGUAAUAAAGAAACUUGCUCUUAUUGAUUGCACCAUGGGAGAAAAUUUUGCUACAUGAGUUAUCAUCAAUUUCUUCCCACCAAUCAUAGAUUUAGACGUGACAAGAGGCCUCUUAAUGGCAAGGAGGAACUGACACUCACACUUAUACAAUUAUCGGGCAUUGAUGUGUUGCAACAAUUAGAAUAACUUACACCAAUUAUGUUGGGGAAGUCACAAAAGGCAAACAUGAAAACUAAAAGGAAAAAAGAAAAAUGUUACAUAUCACCACAACUGGAAAGAAAAAAGUAUUUACUUUCAUUUGCCAUAUUGGAAAGCACUUAUUUUACAUCAUAAUAAUUUAGACAUAAUGCAUAUUGAGAAAAAUGUGUGACAAUAUAAUUGAGACAUUGUUCAGUAUUGACGAAGAAACAAGGACAACCUAAAUAGUCAUCUCGAUUUACAAGCUCUAACUAUUAGAAAUGAGAUUCACCCAAUAGAAAGCAGGACCAAAUUUAUUUUGCUUGCAACAUGCUACUCACUCACCCCAAAUGAGAUUAAGGAAUUUUGCAAGUUUUUGAAAUCAAUAAAGGUCCCCAAUGGCUAUUCUUUCAAUAUCUCUCGUUAUGUGCAACUCAAUGAAAGGAAGAUAUAUGAGCUCAAAUUGUAUGAUUGUCAUGUCCUAAUGCAACAACUUCUCUCACUUGUAGUUCGUGGAGUUCUACAUAAGAAUGUUUGUGGAGUUAUCAUAGAAUUGCGUAAUUUUUUCAAGCAAUUGUGCUCAAAGGUGUUAGAAACAAAUCACUUACACCAACUUGAGAACAAUAUUAUUGUCAUACUAUGUAAAAUGGAGCAAAUAUUUCUUCCAUCAUUCUUUGAUAUUAUGGUGCAUUUACUUGUGCAUCUAGUAAGGCAAAGGUUGCAAGACUUGUGCAAUAUUGUUGGAUGUACCUAAUUGAACGAUAUUGUUAUAAUUUCAUAUGAAUCAUUUAAUUUUAUUUUAUAUUAUGUUCAGUUCAUUAACAUGUACAUUGGUCUACAUAUGGAUGAUGAUAGGUACCUAAGCACUUUAAAGUCAUAUGUGCGUAAUAGAACUUUUCUAGAAGGUUCUAUUGUAGAAAGGUACCUUGCAAAAGAAUGUACAACAUUUUAUUCUAGGUACUUGAAUGAUGUGGAAAUAAAGUAUAAUCACAAUGAUAGAAACUUUGUUGGUUUCAACACUAGAGGAGAUGAAAGGGGUUAUCUUUAAACAUAUUGGACAUGCAUUGGGAAAGCCCAUAUUUCAUUAACUUAGUUCAAAAGAGUGGUCACAAGCACAUUUAUAUGUGUUGACAAAUUGCGAAGAUGUCAUACCAUUCAUUGAGUAAAAAAUUUAUUUGAAUUUUAAUUAAAGCUCUAGUUUAUAUCCUUAAUCAAUGUUUUUUAAAUUCACAAGGAGCACAAGCAAACCAUCAAGGCUAGACCACAUAUACGUGUUUGAGACGUAGAUUUAAUUCAUAACAAGGAAUUUAUCAAGUGGUUUGAAAGACAUGUAAGUAUAUUCCUUAUUAUAAGGGAUUUAUUUCACAUUAUGUUUAUAUUGAAUCCAAACCUAUUAUUGAAUUGUAGGUUGAACAAUUACAUAAUGAAGGUCAUAUAUCUGAACACCUUCUCACAUUAUCAUGUGUUCCAAAUUCAUUAGUUACAUGCUUCAAAUGAUAUAUUGUCAAUGGAUUUAGAUCCCACAUUAAAGAACGUGAUAAAAAAGUUUUUAAAAAAAGACUCAGAAUAAUGGAAUUGUUGUAGUUGCAAAAACGUCAAGCUUUACAAGUGCAUGUGAUAUGAGUCCAAUUAUUAGUGAUGCUCUCUACUAUGGUGUUCUAACUAAAGUUGUUGAGUUACAUUAUCUUGGUGAAAAUAAGGUUGUUUUAUUCGAGUUUGAUUGGUGGGAUGUUACAAAUAUUGGAAAAUUGAUAAAAGAUGAUGAGUACAAUUACACAUUUGUUAACUUUGCAUGAAUUCUAACCACGAACGAACGAUUUGUACUUGCAUCUCCAGCAAAGUAAGUGUUCUAUGUGAAGAAUGCGAAUGAAUCAGAUUGGCAUACUAUCAUGGAGAUGCAACCUCAAGACCUCUAUAAGAUGAACGGGAUAGGAUCCAAUGGUGAUUUUGAACCAUUUCAACAAAGUGAACUACAUGAUCACUAAUAUAUCUCAGAUUUAGUUGAUGAAGAUAUAAUCAAGUGGAACAAAAGUGAUGUUUUAGGACUAAUCAUCCUAAAAAAUAUUGUAGUUUCUUAAAAAAAAAAUGAAAAUGAAGAAGAUAAUUGAACCUUUGUCAUACUUUAAAAAGCAACUAUGCAUUGUUCAUUUUGUAUGUUUUGGUUUUCUUCAUUUAAUUUCCUGAUUUUUGUGAUUCAAUGUCAUAUUAUUGAUCUUGAAAUAUUUUUCUAAUUUUUCAUUCUACGAUGGUUUCAACAAGGAUGACAUCAAGUCAAAAAAGGAAAUGUGGUCCCACACACAAUAUUGCAUUACAGGGAUUAAGGUCAGGGAAGAAGGUAAAAGUUGCAUUUAAUGAGUACAAUCAAUUGGUUAAACAGAAAAAUGGAAAACACUUAUCGAGCUACAUAGGGACACUUGUAUCUAACCAACACAAUGUACCUCUCCAAGCUAGUGAUUGGAAAAAUGUUCCAAAUGAUGCAAAAGAGAAAGUAUGGCCUUUGUUUUGGUAUGUUGUAUUUCUCACUAUAUGAUGUCAUUUCACUGUUAUUCUAUUUUGUGACUAACGUUUGAAUCAUAUGUAAGAAAAAUUUGAAGUAGAUAAAGACUGAAAAGAUUACAUGUUGGGUAUAGCCUCAAAUAAAUAUAGAAGCUAUAAAAAUAUGAUGAAUGCAAAAUACUAUGACCCUUGGCAUAAGGAUGCAUGAGGAGAGGUUAAUACAUAAAUCACCAUUUGUCUCUGAUGUUGAUUGGAAGUGGCUUGUCUCUGAUGCAUAAACCAAAUCCCCCACUGAAUGUUUGAUAUUUGAUAGCAGGAAAAACACACCCGCAGCUAUACACCUCCAUCAUUCAGAUAAUUAUAGUGGGGGAGAUGAUUCAUGGUUGCCCUUAUACCCUUUAUUUGCACCAUCUAUUGAGAUUCUUUAUCAUGGCCAGGUUUUACUGCAGCAAUAAGAUAUGGUGGCAACAAUUUUAUCUAUAGGUGCGGUUCCAGACCGCCUCCAUAGGUGCGGUUCCUGACUGCCUCCAUAGGUGCCUCUUCUUGUAAUGUUUGUUCUGGGAAUUACACUUGAAAGCCUUAUCGUGAUAAGGGAUUACAAACACUAGUUCAGAGGACAGCCAUGUUAAACUUCCACUAUGUUUGUGUCACAUUAUCAGCAGCCUAGUGUUUAUUGGUCAUGCUAUCUGCAACUAAUAUAACCCGGUGAACUUCAAUCUAAAUUCUGAAAGUACUCAUGUGACAGAUGGUGCCUUUCAGCAGAUAUCAUCAAUUUAAAAGUAGUGUGUGUGCCUAUAGGUGGGAAGGCCUUGGCAAAUGUUCAGUAUUCCGGUAAUUCAAGAAGGAUAUAUCUAAAAUAGAUUUUCUUCUUGCCCAUUUCAAUAGUUAAAAUUUGAGAAGAUUGUGUCCACAUCACACAAAUAUUAUUGGUCCUUCUGUUGCAAUUUACCUCUGAACAUGUCUUCCAAUUCCCACGGUCCUGUUACUCCAGGAAAACUAUUUCGGUCAUAUUGAAAAAAAAAAUAUUAAAGAAGGUACACAUGCUUUUAAGUGGACUGGGGCAUUCAUAUCAGGUGGUCUGUAUCCACAUAUGCCACUUCGUGAAAGGUGGAACAGCCUAAUCACUAGGCUAUUUAGUGUGGCCCAGCCACGUUAAUCAAGCACAAGUCUUCAUACUUAAAGUCAAAUGGUGUCUUUAGUCUCAUUACACAUCGCUAUUUGAAGAUUAACUCAUCACUAGUGUAAUGCGAUUAAGACAGUCCUAACUCAAUAUUUGUUCUAGUUUUGGAUGCAAAUGCUUGCUGGUUUCAUCAUUGGAUGGGAUAAAGGUGCAAUCAGGACUAUGAAUACGUGCAGUAAUACUUCAUUCUCUUUUUUCUCAAUGAGACUUCUUGGCACAAUUUUGCUGCUCAGCAACCUACCUUUCCAUGGAAAAUCAGUUGUGACUGAUAGUAAUGGAUAUAUUCUAGAAAGCUAAACAUAGAUAGCAUUCAAUAUUAUCGAUAUAACAUUAACAGCGUAUGUCUCAAUGCUCAUCAGCUACAAGCAAUGGACAAACACUUUGAGUAACUCACAGCAGUCAAAAUUCCUAAACAGGACAGACGUGACAGAUCUAUAUAUAGAACACUGCAUAUGAGUCACAGGAAAAGAUAAUACGGGUACAUAGAAGCUCUUAUUUUACAUAUUACUCAUACUGAUCAAAGUCGCUCAGUUGGGAUGGAUGGGAGAAGGAGGUUUGAGGGGUGGCUUGUGCGGGGAAGUUGGCAGCUUCUUUCCGGGAGCUGGUUGCUUCUUUGCUGGAGUUGAAGGAGGCUUAAUCUUCCGAGGUGGCUUGUAUGAGUCUUCAGCAUUCUCAGCAGGAGGGUGACCAGGGUUGUGACCAUAAUGUGGUGGCUUCUCUCCCUUAGGUGGUUUGCCAACUGGGGUUGGUGGCUUGUUUUCUGGGAGUGGCUUCUCUCCCUUGGGUGGUUUGCCAACUGGGGUUGGUGGCUUGUGUUCUGGGAGUGGCUUCUCCCCCUUGGGAGGUUUUUCGAAUGGGGUGGGUUUGUGUCCUGGUGGUGGCUUCUCUCCCUUGGGAGGUUUACCAAUUGGGGUCGGUGGCUUGUGUUCUGGGAGGGGCUUCUCUCCCUGGGGAGGUUUAGUGGGUGGCUUGUGUUCUGGAGGUGGCUUCUCCACCGGAGGCUUAUGCUCUGGUGGUGGCUUCUCGAAGGGGGGAUGCUCAGGGUAAUCACCAAGUGAGGGGGUGGUGAGAACCACCAUGCCAAGCAACAACACUAGCAAGUAUGUAGUAGACAUCUUUGGGUUUGGACUCAGACAGUGCAAAACUACGAGAAAUCGCUAGCCCUUUAUAGCGGCUCGGACCUAAUACUGACAUAAUAUAAAAUAAAUAUUAUAUUUUAUCAAGAGAGAACAGAGUGUAAUUUUAUCAUUAAUACCGAUCGAGGCCAAAGAAAGAAGACCCAUAAUCCAUUUCCCACAAGCAUACACAAUGCAGCUGUAAUUUUAUCAUUUACUUUUAUCCCUUGGACCACUGCAUUUUUGUUGAGAGACACAAUAACACAUUUUUAUCUGUCAUUCAACAUUUACAGUAAAGAGAGGGCACAAAACGCAAUUAGAUAAAUUAUGUUUUGCCUGCUAAAAAGAGGCAAAUAACUUUAUUUGCAACAUAAUUAUUUUGGUUUCUAGUGACCCCGGGGCCUUUCGGUUGGUUUGGGAUCGGAAAAUGAACAUCAUAGGGGGGGUUGUGCCCUUAUGGGCAUAUAUAUCUGAUAGCUUCAACUGGCCUUGUUCCUAGAAAGAAAUUGCCAAAGAUAUAAACUUAUUCCAGGCUGAAAGUAGAUGAGAGUCAUAAUGAACAUCAACCUUUGUUCAGUUUGAUUCAAUGCCCCCAUAGUGUUCAUUUCACAGAUCUGAAUGAUUAUAUCCGUUGAAUACAUAAAUUAAUGAAGACAAAUAUGAAACCCAAGAUACAUCUCUGCAUAACAACCCCAACCCUGGUUGCUAUGUUUCCCUUCUUCUAUUCACAUGAGGAUACUGGUUAUAAUUGUCAAACUUGCAACAAGCCCUUUGACACCUAACGUCAAUGGACGAAUUAAAAGUCUCCUUCAAACGUCUAUUUCACAGCAUGAAGCUUAUAAAGGAUGCUGACAACCUUCAGAGUUAGCGACAAAAGAUAAUUAUCAAGGAGAGAUAGUUCCAUGAGAAUUCCAAGGAGUCUGAAUCAAAGACAAAUUGCUCACUCAAGGGUUCUUAUUUUCUUUUAGGUACAAAUCUCUUGAGUGUUGUUAAAGAAACACGUCACUGUCAUUUUGAUUUGCAUUUAACAUUUCACUUUUGUUCUGGAAGGUUUGUUCCGGAAACAUAUCAAAUGAGCAUCAUUUUCUUCUUCGGUGACACAUGGUCGCGAGUACGUGGGUCCAUUUUCAUGCCACUUAGUUGAAAAGUUGGAAAGAAAAAACAUGCCAACAAGAAGAUAGUGAGAGAAGGGGCACUUCAAGCCUUUAACAUGAACAAACAGUAAAUAAAAGAUGUUUCUCCACUCAUAAAAGUGUGUUAGAUAGCAAUAUAACGAAUCACAUCCAAAAUCUUUACUAGGCUCAAACAUAAAGAAGACUCAUUUUUAAGAAAAGAUAAAAAUGGCAUUGUCUGAUAGUAUCCAAUACACGAGAUGGCACUUAAUUUGUACAAGAUCUGUCAAUGCUGACGCACAUUUUCUGAUUAAAAAAAAACUGAUCAGUCAAAAGCAAUGAAGAGAAGUGAUGACAAUGAAUGAUGCUUCCAAUAUUUUCACCCCUUAUAGUGUUCUUCAUGAUUCAGAUAUAUAAUUGGAAAUAGAACAACCCUAUGCCAUACAUUCGUCUAAGUAUGGUGUCUAAUUUUUUGUGUCAGCGGUUGCGAAUGGAGCGUGCAAAAGUCCAAAUUGGCGUCUCUCCAUUUCCACAUAGGAAGGUGACCUUUAUUGACAAAUACCCAAUAUUUGUAGACAUUCCUUAAAUAUCAUAACUUCUUGUUGAUUUGAAAAUCAUUUUUCAACUACCAUGUUUUAAUAAAUAUUUUUUAAAAUGUAUUUUUAUCAAAGUCCACCAUGAUGGAUAAUAUUCACCAUGCAAUAAUUAAUAAAGUACAAACUAAGCGAAAUGAAAAGCAUUUUCUUUGCUUUGAGUUGAUUUUGGUUGCAUUGAGUUGAUUUUGGUUUCAUGGUUUUUUCAACUCUUAUUUUGAUUGGAAGAUGUCAAGAAAAGAAAACAUAAAGAAAAAUUAAAAGGGAAAAAAGAAGAAAAAUAAAAAAAAAUAGAUUUAAAAGUUAAUAAAUUAUUUUUUAUAUUUAUUUUAAUUCAUUUCACUUAUUUUUCUUUUACUAUAUAAAAUUUAAAUAAUUUAAAUUUUAUAAUUAAUUUAAUUACAUUUCAUUUUCUUCUAUAUUUAAAUAUUGGAAAAAUAUUUUACUUAAUAUUUUUUUCUUUAAUUUCUUUGGCAUUUUGGGAACCAAACUUAGCCUUUAAAAUAAAAAACAAAAAAAAAAUGAAAAUAAGGAGGGAAAAGUGAGAAAAGAUAAAAACAAUAUGUAAAGGAUUUGAAAAGUAUUAGUUUGUAAUUACUAUUUGGAUUUCAAUAGUAUUUUAUUUGUCUUUCUAUAUUUCAUGUAAGAGAGAAUUUAAGAUAUUCCCCAAGGCAAAGCAUUAGUUACCUGCAAUCAGUGGUGAUAAGGCUCCAAGCCAAUUUUGGGCCCCAUAUCUUAAGACAGUACAAUUUCCAUUUCAACAUUUCUGAUUUCUCAGAUGUUUCACAUACCACAGAAGAACAUUGUUUGUGAAAAUAUGCAUUUAUGUUGGAUUUUGUAUGCUGUGGGGACUGGGGCAAGGAUCAUAUGGAAGAGUGGUUGACUUUUUCUGUACUUUAACGGUUGAAAUAGGAUAAGCACGGGCAUUUGUGAGGCUUAAUUGAUUUUGAAGCCUGAAAUUGCGUUUCUGUCAUUUUGUCAAAAAAAUGGCAGAUUCCAUACUCAUAUGUUUGGCCUGUGGCCAUGUACAGAUGCCAUUUAGUGACCAGUUUGUAACUGUCAAUCGUUGCGUUUUGACUCUGCCUCAACAACAUCUGCCAUUGACGGGUUUUCAUACUUGCAAAUCAAAUAGUCUUUCGUCCCAUCAGGAAUUUCGGUUUAAAUAUUAUUAAGCAUACGUUUGGCUGACAAUCAUUAUCCAGUUCAUGAUUUGGUUUCUUACCCUUAAUCAAUGGUUUCUAAGUGAAUAUAUGUAGAAGGAAAUCCGAAGUGUAGACAGUAGUAUCGAUAACUCUCAAUAUUCUCUAUAUAAUAGAAUAAACAGCGUCAUAGUGAUCGUCGCCUACAAGCAAGGUACAAAUACCAAAACGAGUGACUCACAUAGACAUCUCCCAACAAGAUGUAGUAGUGACUGACACAUGGACACAAUUAACUCGUAGAAAAGGAUAAGACCAUUGCACAGCAGCUCUUAUUUUACAUACUACUUAUGCUAACCAAAGUCAAUUAGUUGGGAUGGGUGGGAGAUGGAGGUUUGUGCGGUGGCUUGUGGGGCGGAGUUGAUGGCUUCUUUCCAGGAGCUUCUGGCUUUUUCAUCGGAGCUGAAGGAGGCUCAAUCUUAUGAGGCGGCUUGUAUGAGUCUUCUUUACUCUCGACAGGAGGGUGGCCAGGGUUGUGAUCAUAAUGUGGUGGCUUCUCUCCCUUAGGUGGCUUGCCAACUGGGGUUGGUGGCUUGUGUUCAGGAAGUGGUUUCUCUCCCAUGGGAGGUUUAGCAAUUGGGGUUGGUGGCUUGUGUUCUGGGAGUGGCUUCUCUCCCUUGGGAGGUUUAGUAGGUGACUUGUGUUCUGGAGGUGGCUUCUCCACCGGAGGCUUGUGCUCCGGUGGUGGCUUCUUGGUUGGAGGGGGCUUGGGGUAAUCAGCAAGAGAUGGGGUGGUGAGAACCACCAGUCCAAGGAACAACACUAGCAAGUAUGUGGGAGACAUUUUUGAGUUUGGGCUGAUCAGAUGAUGCAAAACUAAAGCAUUACGUGACCUUUUAUAGCAUGUAGCUCCCAAUACCCACUAAGUAUUGUGGGGUCCAUUUGUGCCCUACGGGGUUGAAAACUUAGACAAUUGGGCAAGGACCCACCUGACUAUGGAGGACUAGUGAGGUGUGAUCAUAGCUUUAGGAUUUUUCUUCCUCUGCAGCCGUCGUGCCGUUGGCAUGAUUUUCUUAAUCUUAAAUAAAGGCAUAGUUAUAGAGUUGUUUAAUCUCUAAAUGGGAUUUUAUAUAUAUCUUCAGAUAGCCAUUAAUAUAUUUGAUGAAGAAAGAAAGACAAGUGCAUACAACAUGUAUACGACUAGCUUUCAUGGAGUUCAUUUAUGAUCAGUUUUCCUGUACAUGUAAACCAGGAUCAUAUAUAUGUUUCUGUUCCACAACUAUUUUGGAAUCUUGUUUAUCAGUUUUUAUCAUUAUAAUGUCACAUAGGCUGCCAACUUGGGCGCUAAAAGAACCAGUUGGGCUAGUUCGUUUCAGAAUUUCAAUGUGGAUUCAGGAAUUGUUUUGUAAGAUAUGCGAAAUAGUAGAGGGAUGAAUAGUGUUUCAUUAAUAAAAGUGUCCUGUAAAUUAGAAGGUGUCAUAGAAACUAUAAUCAAUAAAUAACUUUUUUUCCCCACGGGUGGUGUUUCUUGUGGGGAUCAGUGACUGGUUUAGGUUCACCCAAAAUGAGUUCAGACUAAAAUUGGUUUGAGUCAAUGCCGUGUCUCUUUUUUCCAGAAAUCAACUAUUUUAUGCAUUGAAUAAAUCAUACAAAGAAAAUAUGAACGCCCGCAAAACCUAAACCCUGGUUGCUAACUUUCUAUGUUUCAGUUCUAUUCACGCAAGAAUAUUAGUUUAAGUUUGGGAAAAAUGGCAACUUACCUAGUGAUUACUUGGUUUUGGUUUGCGACUAUUUACGCAACCAACCAUGAGUUUGACUUUAACGUCAUGGGUUGAAGCCUCCUACAGGAAGGGAGAAAGCUCCACAGCUAGCUCCAAAAGAGAAUUAUCACAUUGAUAGCUCCAGAGAUUCCCAAGGGGACUGAAUCAAAGACAAGUUCCUCACUUUUUCUUCUUUUGAGGCCAAAUAUGAACCAAGGAUCACACAACCUCAUUCAACUUCAUAAGUUUGAUUUCAUGCAGUUGAACACUGGGUGAAGGCCAUGACAAGAAUUGAUUCAAAAAUUCUAUCACUCUUUUAAGUAAUGGAAGAUUAUUAUCUCUGAUUGGCAUCACAACAGCACAUGCUCCUAGAUCUUUCUAGACACUCCAUGCAAUGAAAGCACAAUGGAUCUUGUAACGAUAGAAACUAAGCCAUGCUACAGUACUAGAUGAUGAGGUAAAACUAGUAGACACGGGUGGCAGCCUAUAUGGGAGGGACACAAGUCUAAUUGAUUUGCAUUUCAGCAUUAUAGAUAGGUAUGUUUUGGAAGAUUUGUUCUGGAAAUACCGCACCAAGUAGGAUUCUUUUUCUCUUUAGUGGGUCCACUUGCAUGCCAAUUAACGAGUUGAAAAGUAUGAGCACCUACCUCGUGCUCGUGGAACCGAAGGUCAGUGAAGUGGGGCUCCUUUUGGCCUCGUGUAAACUUGAUUCAGAAGUGAAGUUAAUAGUCUUCCAUUCAGAUGGAUACAUGGGAAUUUUUCUCUUUUAUUUAUUUAUUUAUUUUUUUUUUGUGUGUGUAUGUCAAAGGAUAAUGAAUGAAGCGCGUUAGCUUGUUUUCUGACUGGAACCGCAGAUGUCCAAAUUGGAGUUCCUUCAUUUCUUACUUAGGAUUGUUACAUGUAUAAACAAGGUAUAAGAAAUAUGCCAACGUGUCUUGAGGAGUUAUUGAUUAGAAAUAACAAGUCACCCGACUGUAGAGUUCCAAGAUUUGAAUCUUCAGACCCUAUAGCAGCCUCUGGGGUACGUGGCAUCCUAUAGCAUAUUAAUGAAGGCUUUUUCGAUUUAGACUUCACAAUACCAAUUAAUAUGUAUGCACAAAAUGGAGAUGACCCCAAAAAAAACAGAAUCGCCAUAGUUUAUGAGGUUAAGGUGAUUCUCCACUUAAUAUCUACAUUAGCUAAUUAUGUAAAUCAAAUGAACUUCUAUUUUUCCUUUUUUUUUUUGGUUUAUGUCAAAUAGUAGCCCAUAAUUAACCCAACCAUUAGCCUGUUUGAAUUGAUUUCACAUGCACAAUGUUGUAGUAGUUCAUAUUUUGAAUUUUAUUUUUACAAAGGUAGUUAAGGAAAAUGAAGUAUAAUAAUUAUAAAAGCAGACUAUAUACACUACAAUAAUUGUUAGAAUGGUAUCUCAAAUUCUAAUUUAAAAUAUUAUUUUUUGUAAAAGAAAUAUUAUAUAGAAUAUUUCCUAAUUUUAUAAAUGAUUAUAAUUAGAUCUUUAUAAAAUAAGGAAAGUUGGUAAGAAUAUCUUUAUAAAUAUUUUAGGUCAUGAGAGAAAGAAAUGGGAUAAAAAUGUGAUGAAGAGGUGAAAUAAGAGAGUUGAUUAGGAUAUAGAUGUGAAGAAGAAAGGGAUUCAAUAUAUAUAUAUCUUUCAAUUACCACAUUAAAACCCUGUGAACCUUUUAUAUGGUUUACUUUAUUUUUAUAUUCCUCCUUUAAUAUAUUUACAUUAAUGCUUCCAUUGGCACAACAAUAACGAAUUACAAAUACAAGCAACAAGUCCCAUGUUUUAUUACCAAAAGCAGGUAAAAUCCACCUAAUAUAUUACAAUAUAUUCAUCCAAUAUUUUAGACCAAUUCUUCACCAUAAAUAUCAUAAUGUGGCUUUUGUUCUUUCUUAAAUUUAAAUUGAAUUGUCUUAUAUCAAUUUGUUUGUGAUUUUUUCAUUAACUUCACUUUCAUUUGGUUAUCUUUGGUUUUUGAAAAGUAUUAAGGAAUUAAUUAACAAAAUAAUGUUAAGAAAAAUAAUUUUCUCUCUUUUGAUUUUGAUUUUGUAGUAGAAAAAUAUAAUUAAAAUUAUUUAAAAAGUAUGUAAUUUUAAAUUAUUUAAUAUUUAGAUAAAAAAAAUAAGUCUAAUGAGUUUAAAAUAACAUAUAAAAAUAAUUUAUUUAUUUUAAAUUUAUUUUUUAUUUUCCAUUAUGUUCUCUUUCUCUUUUACUUUUUCAUAUUUUUUCUUACGAAGAAUCAAACACAACCUCAUAUUAUAUGUCAAGUGUUUGUCUAUAUUUGAGCAAUGUUAGAUACGGCCAUGGAUUCAUCAAACUAAACUGAUUUUAAUAGAUACUUCACAAAUUGAUUUAUACACUAAAUCAUUGGAUAGCAAUGAUGCAUUGGAAUUAAACGUAGGAUGAAGCUCGAAGAACACUGUUUGUGUAACAACAUAUUUAUGAAAUUAUGCAAAGGAUGAGCUUCGGGGUAGUAGUACAAGGUCAUUAAUGGAGAGCCGUGUUAAACCUUGAUUGUGAUUGGAUUCCGUUAUCAGCAACAGCAACCUUGUUUGUAACCUUGAAAGUCAUUCUGUCCACAUCGAAACUCCAAUUUGACGUUUGUAAUUACCAUUCCUGGAGUGUUCCUUGAUUGAAAUUUAAAUAAUAAUUGCGGCCCACAAGGAAUAUUUUCGAUUCUGUGGGAAUUUGACAAGGUUUGUUAGAGAAGACUGGUGACAUGUUGACUUCAAUGGUUCAAAUAGGAGACGUAUGUGGAUUUGGGGGGUUUAAUUGAAACUGAGUCCCUAUGGCUUUUUAAUAUUUGCAUUGAGCAGUCUCCAUGUGACUUCCUAAUUCCCACCAACCCUCCUGUCCAUGCUGUGAAACUAAAUUGUAAUUUAUCAGCCUUUGUCAAUGGUUUCUAAAUUAAAGAUAUAGACCAUGCAUGUACUUUAAUAAAAGCAAAUCUAAAGUGUAGAUAGCAGCAAUGGUGACACCCAAUAUUCUCCAUAAAAUAGAAUUAGAAUAAGCAGUGUUACAUUGUUCAUGAUCACCUACAAGCAUACAAGAACUUCCAUGAAUAACUCAUAGCAAUUGCCAACAGGGCGUCGUAGAGACUCAUACAUAGAACACUAUCCACCCAGAGGAAAGGACAAGACCAGUGCGCUGCAGCUCUUAUUUUUCACAUGUAUACCACCACUCGUAAUAACCAAAUUCACUCAGUUGGGAUAGGUGGGAGAUGGUGGUUUGUGGGGUGGCUUGUGGGGAGGAGUUGGAGGAGGCUUUAUUUUCUGAGGCGGCUUGUAUGAGUGUGCAGGAGGAUGCCCGGGAGUGUGACCAUAAUGUGGUGGCUUCUCUCCCGUAGGUGGUUUGCCAAAUGGGCUUGGUGGCUUCUCUCCCUUAGGAGGUUUACCAAUUGGGGUUGGUGGCUUGUGUUCUGGGAGUGGUUUCUCUCCCUUGGUAGGUUUGCCAAUUGGGGUUGGCGGCUUAUGUUCUGGGAGUGGCUUCUCUCCCUUGGGAGGUUUGCUAAUUGGGGUUGGCGGCUUAUGUUCUGGGGGCGGCUUCUCUCCCUUGGGAGGUUUGCCAAUUGGAGUUGGCGGCUUAUGUUCUGGGAGUGGCUUUUCUCCCUUGGGAGGCUUGCCAAUUGGGGUUGGCGGCUUAUGUUCUGGGGGUGGCUUCUCUCCUUUAGGAGGUUUGCCAAUUGGAGUCGGCGGCUUAUGUUCUGGAAGUGGCUUUUUUCCCUUGGGAGGUUUGCCAAUUGGGGUUGGCGGCUUAUGUUCUGGGGGUGGCUUCUCUCCCUUGGGAGGUUUGCCAAUUGGAGUCGGCGGCUUAUGUUCUGGGAGUGGCUUCUCUCCCUUGGGAGGUUUUGUUGGUGGCUUGUGUUCUGGAGAUGGCUUCUCCCCUGGAGGCUUGUGCUCCGGAGGUGGCUUCUGAAAUGGCGGGGGCUUGGGGUAAUGAGCAAGAGAUGGAGUACUGGUGAGAACCACCAUUCCAAGCAACAAUACUAGCAAGCAUGUGGGAGACAUCUUUGAGUAGUUGUAGCUAAGAUGGCGCAACACUGUAGGCAUUGGGUGGCCUUUUAUAAAGGGCUGGACCCAACAGCCAUAUGACACGUGUCAUGAUGACAAAUGAAGUUGAGGGGAUCCAGAUGGGUCCUACUGAGUCGAAAACUUGCACUAAUUGAUCUGGUGAGAUGACUAUUUCUGUCCUUUUGCCCUUCUCGGCCACCCUGUGCUGUUUUCCUUUUGCACGAUUUUCGUUGCCAAACAAGCAAAUAAUAUUUCGCCAAGAAAGAGGAGAGUGAAUGUGGAAUGCAUCAAGUCCCAUCAAGGAUGGCAGAGAAGAAAUAGAAGAUUGCCCAACUGUGAUAAACAUAGCAUACACGUAGCACCAGGAACUUCAUUUACUUCCAUCUAAUGGAACAUAACAAUCUUCUAAAGUUUUUGCAUGAUUUUGUUAUAUGUCUCUUAGCCUAAAGUUGGAAAUGCGCAACAAAUUUUGUCACUUCUCUAUUUCCCACUGAUGAUGUUAAUUAGCCUUCAUAGAUAUCAUCCUUUCUACAAAGUGCUUCAUUUGUGUGUUAUUGUAAAGUGUAAGAAAAGUAAUUGAACAUGUUCUUUUUCCUUUCAUAGAUGACUUUUGAUGUGCAUUUUAAAAGCAGCGCUGUGAGUCGGUGACCUUGAUUCACACGGAAACUAAGGCUCCUAUAGGACCCACUUUUAGCUGGUUAGGGGUGAAGAAAAUAUCAACUUUUCAGAGUGAUUUAAGUCAAGGCCAAGCCUCACUGUGUCAUUACUCGUGUGAAUUUUAUAUGCACAUACAUACAUAAAUAAAGUAUGAGACCCAAAUAACACCUUCCCUUUACAAACUUAACCCCAGCCGCUCUCUUUCAAUUCUUUUCACACAAGGGUAUUGACUCUAUAAAGGUCAAGAAAAUCAUAAUUUCCUAGGGUUUACAAGGUAAUUGGCUUAAUGCUAAUGUGAAAACAUAAAAGAUAAUAGUAUAUUGUAAGCUAACGAAUAUUCUAUAGUUAUAAUUAUUUGUGAUGUGCAUAAAUAAAUCUUCAUAUAUAUAAUGGAACAAUGAAUAAAGAACCAAUGAAAAAAUACUAUAUAUCAUUGCUUGGCAUUUAAACCGUAUAUGCUGCUCUUUCUAGCUACUCCAUCCACUGAAAGACAACAAGGUAAUCCAUGUUAUAAUGAUAGAAGAUACUGUCUCUAGGCUUUUUGUGAUGAAAAAUAUAAGAUAUGGGUAGGGUUGACCCUUGUAUGUUUGUCCUAUAAACACUUCAAAGUAACAUAUUUUUCUUCUUUAGCAACUCAUAAUGAUGGGGUUCAUUUGCAUGUCACUGAGUUGAAAAGUUGGACAAUUGCCCAUGUCGCCUUCCUCCUAGAUUCCGUAGUUCACGGGAAGGUAACUCAAGUUUGACAUAUUUUGAAUUCUUUUCACUCGGACGUCUUCAUAACCUGACAAAACAAAAAUGAAAAACAGAGGAUUGGUAUAUUAUUCAUGGUAAGCCUCAAAUUAUAGUAGUAUGAGAAAGGAGAAAAAGAUUUUGGGAACUCCAAUCUGGAUAAUUCUCGUUUCUUCUCUUGAAUAAAAAUUUCACUUACCUAACUUCGUUUGGAGAAAUGGCAUAUUUUAAUUUUGUACGUCAUUGCUAAUAAAUGGAGCAAUUUAGCAUGUUUUGUGACUGAAACUGCAAAUGUCCAAUUGGCAUUUCUUCAUUUCCCACUUAGGAUCUGAUCUUGUAGACCAUAUAACGAUAUGUAUCUGUGCAAGCAUUGAAAACUAAUGUGAACUAUGAGGAGUUACAAGCCACUGGACUGUAGAGCGAGUGCCAAGAUUUAAAUCUUCAGGCUCUAUCUGGGUAAGGGGAGGAUAGCGACCUAACCUUUUACCAAAGGCUUAGAAUUUAGACUUUUGGAAAAAAAUUUCUCAUGUUUUGGCUGGAUUUCUUGUGCUUGGCGCAAAAAGGAGAUGGCCUCAAGAAAUAGCAGACUCACUUUUGUUUUCAGCCCUUAAUAAUUCUCCACUGCUUUCCAUAACUACAUGGGUUAUACAUGCAGUCUGCUGCAAUAUUCCAGUUAUAUUUAUUAUUUCAAAGAGGGUGAAUGACUUCACAUGCAAUAUGUUGCAGUAACAACCCAAAUUUUGGCACACCAUCUUAAGAAUAGAAAAGUAUAAUAAAAGAAAUCAAUCAGAGAAUCACUUUGCAUGCAGUUCAUAGAGUUCGCCCAAAAUGGAGCCACAUGUACGGACAACCCCACAAUAGACAAUCUUCUCUAUACAGUAAUAAAAUACAGAAAUGGUUAAUGAAGCUCUGUAUUUCCUUAUCAUAUAUGACCGGUUGAAAACUCAGCAAGUCUUCCUCAAUCACAGACAGUUGGAGUUGCUUCAUCAAAAUCAUGCCUUCAUUACUGGCUUCAUUUUGGUUUCAAUGUCUGUUCUACCCUUAAAUUGGGUCUCUGCUUACUACCGGGAUAUCCUUUAGCGUCCUGCAAUUCUACUAGAUUAAAGAGAAUGACUUAAUUCUGCAUUCUGCCGUCCCUAGUCCAAGUGGUACUAGAAUUGAUGUUUCCUUUAGUGUCCUUUCUUCAUACUUUCAGGUUCUUCCCUUGUUUCAAUAAUGCUGUUUUCCUUCAUGUUUAACCUCUGUUGAACCACUUAAAACAACACAAUUUGCACACCAAUGUUUCUUUACAGAAAAGACUGUUUGCAAAAAUGCACAUGUUAUAAGGUUAAUGGAAGAAUUAAUUUGGGGAUAAGGGACUAGGAUUGGGCCAAUGAAGUUUGGUGUUAAAUUUUGAUUAUGAUUGCUUUUCAUUAUCAGGUACCUUAUAUUUGCUGAUGCUAUCUGGAACUAAAUUCAAAUCAGACAUUAUCCGAUUACUAACAGGACAUAUCAUGUCCCUCUGCAGAGUUUCUAAACUAACAUGUAUCGAAAUGUGGCCCCAAAAGGAAGGCUAGGAAGAUGGAGGAUUUUGUAGGAAUCGACCAGAAUCAGAUGGAAGAGAGAUAGUCCUGUUGACUUUAAUGGUUGUGAUAGGAACAUGCAUCAUUAUAUGAGAAGUUGCAUGAAUUUAUGUAUCCUGUUAUCGUUCCUUGACGAUUUCCCAAUGCAAUUUCACUGUCCACAAGACUAACCUCUCCAUGCAGUCAAAUGAAUUGUAAUUUCUCUAUUGGUACCAGUAGUACAUUUCAUACCAAACAUAUAGUAAAUAUAAAAUAUAAAUAGAUCAAGGAAAUCUGAAUUGUAGAUAGCACUGCAAGUAACACUCAAUAUUCUCUAUAUAUAAUAAAAUAAACAGUGUCACAAUACUCAUCACCCAGUGGCAAGGGAGAAAAACCUACAAUGAGUACUCAAAUCACCAUUCUCAAACAGAAACAUAGCAGUGACUGAUACAUAGAACCUAUAUGCUCACAGGGAAAGAAUAAGAUGACCAGUGCACAGCGGGCAGCAGCUCUUAUUUUACGUACAACUCAAAUCCCAAACUAACCAAAGUCGCUCAGUUGGGAUGGGUGGGAGAUGGUGGUUUGUGGGAUGGCUUCUGGGUAGGAGCUGGUGGCUUCUGUCCCUUUGGUGGUUUGCCUAAUGAGCUUGGUGGCUUGUGCUCCGGGAGUUGUUUCUCUCCCUCGAGUAGGUUUCGAGUCUUGUCAGAUGGCUUGUGUUCUGGUGGUGGCUUCUCUCCCUGGGGUGGUUUGCCGAAUGGGCUUGGUGGCUUGUGUUCGGGGAGUGGCUUCUCUCCCUGGAGAAGGUUACGAGUUUUGUCAUAUGGCUUUUGUUCUGGUGGUGGCUUCUCUCCCUGGGGUGGUUUGCCGAAUGGGCUUGGUGGCUUGUGUUCGGGGAGUGGCUUCUCUCCCUGGAGAAGGUUACGAGUUUUGUCAGAUGGCUUGUGUUCUGGUGGUGGCUUCUCUCCCUGGGGUGGUUUGCCGAAUGGGCUUGGUGGCUUGUGUUCGGGGAGUGGCUUCUCUCCCUGGAGAAGGUUACGAGUUUUGUCAGAUGGCUUUUGUUCUGGUGGCGGCUUCUCUCCCUGGGGUGGUUUGCCAAAUGGGCUUGGUGGCUUGUGUUCGGGAACUGGCUUCUCUCCCUUGGGAGGUUCAGUUGGUGGCUGCUGUUCCGUAGGUGGUUUCUUCACCGGCGGCUUGUGCUCCGGAAGCGGCUUCUCUACCUGGAGAAGCUUACGAGUUUUGUCCGAUGGCUUGUGUUGUGGUGGUGGCUUCUCUCCCUGGGGUGGUUUGCCAAAUGGAGUUGGUGGCUUGUGUUCGGGGAGUGGCUUCUCUCCAUUGGGAGGUUUAGUUGGUGAUUGGUGUUCCGUAGGUGGUUUCUGAAGUGGGGGAUGCUUGGGGUAGUCAGCAAGAGACGAGGUAGUGAGAACCACCAGUCCCAGCAGCAACACUAGCAAGCAUGUGGAAGACAUCUUUGAGUUCAGGCUGAGAUCUGUGCAAGGAUAACAGAAUUAGGUGGCCUUUUAUAGAGGCCUGGACCCAACACCCAUAUGACACGUGUCAUGCACUCAUGGUGACACAUAAUUCUAUGGGACCAUUUGGGUCCUACAGAAGUUGCAAAGUUGGACUACUGAGGUGUGAUCACAACUUUUGUCCUUAUUGCUUUCUCUGCGGCCAUUGCACGAUUUCCUUUAGCAUCAUUUUCUUGGCUAAAUAAGCGUAUUAUAUUUGUGGCAGACCGUCCACGUGUCAUAAACAGAUAUAUUAUAAUAAUGUAGUAUGCUUUUCUCCAAUGGAACAUGACACUCUUCUAAGUCUUGUUUUAAAUAUUGUGCAGGAUUACUUUAUACGUUGCAGUUCCAAGUCAAAAUUGGUGGGCAAACGUUGGCCUUUUUUCAUUUCACCUAAGAUUAAUGCUCACCUGGGAUAGGCACUACAUGACUUAUCUGCUCUUUUACUGUAAAGUUGCUUUGUGUAUGAGAUACACCUCCCCUGCACACCCUCAACAUUCGUUGCUCUGUUUUCCUUGUGUCCAGACGAGGAUAUUAAUUGGAGGCUGACAAAACGACUGCUAGCCCAGGAUUUACAAGGUCCUGGUUUGAGGCUUCGGUGAAAGUAUUUUUGAAAAGACACACAUAGAGAUAGUGCGUUUGGUGCAAUGCAGCACUGUGAGCCAUUCUGACGCGUUCUUAAUUUCAAAACUAAUGAAUGCUUCAAAAUUUUAAGAAGUGACAUUUCCAAAUAUUUGAGUUCGUUUAAUUGAACAUUGGAUAACUAGUGAUCAUAGAUUAUUAUCUGUGCUUGGCACUAUAAGAGGGUAUAUGCUUCUUUUUCUGGCCCCUCCUUCAAGGGAGGAGGGACAAUGUGAUCUGUAACGUUAGAAGCUAUUCCAUGUCAUCUUUGGGCUCAGUUCAAAACUAAAAGAUAAUGGGGGGGGGGGGGGGGGGCAUAUCAUUUUAUAUUUCUUCUAGAAGGUUUGUUCUGGAAAUAUUUCACAGGAGCAUAUCUUUUUCUUCUAUUACGUCAUCCGCAGCCUCCAAUAGGUCGGUUAACAAGCCACCGAGUUGAAAAGUUGGAAAAAUGGGAACACAGCCCGCCUCUUGUAUUCAGUAGUUAAAUAAAAGGUCACUAGAAGUGAGAUCCCUUUUGGCGUCUUGAUUUUCAAUCCAGCACCUCUGUGACCUGACAAACCAAAAAAACUAAAAAAUAAAAAACAGUACGUGGGUUGGUGUUAAGCAUCAAGACAUGUUAAUGAAAGAAGGUAGAGAAUAGGAUAUUGAAAUCCCAAUCCUGAUAACAUGAUUUUCUUUGCUAACAACCAUAUUAUAUUUUAUCAAGAAAGAGUAAUGCAUGUGGCGUCCAUCAAGACCCAUUAGAGUUCCGCUAAAGCUAUAGUUCUGUCAACGUUAUCAUUUACGUUUCCUCUAGAUAAUGGCAUUUUCCUCUAAAGCUCUUGCACCAUUAGGCUUCAAGUCAAAAUUUCACAUGUGAACUUUGGAAAUUUUCUCCAUUUGCCCCUAAGGAUACAGUUAGAAUUGACUUAAAAUCCUGAUUGAUAUGUACUAUUAACCAAAGAAUAUUGUAUAUAAUAAUUGAAAUAUUGUUGAUUCAUCGUGGAAAUACAUUUUGUAAGGAAAGUUGUUGAGAAUUUAGUAUGCUAUAUGGAGAAAAAAGUCAUGACUUAAGGUUGUGUAUGUAUAUUCUAUAUCAAAUAUUAGGUAGGAAUGUGGGAAAGAGCAGAGUGUAAUGAUAAGAAACAAAGAAAUAUAAGAUAUUCUUGAAAGUGGAAAAUAUAAAAUGGCUAACGAGUCAAAUUUAUGAUGCGUAAGGGGGAUCAUGUCACAUAAGAAAACCAUGGCAUACUAAAGACGUACGUGUGGUAUGGAGUAAUAAUUUUGUUAAAAUAAGUUUCUUGUUGGAGUACAUUAGGUGACUAUUCAUAACGUAUCAAAUUAAAGAGUCAAGUGCAUCAAUGAAGGCAUAUGUAGAAAAUUUGUUUGUGACAUGUACCAUAAAGAUAAGAUUGACUUGAUAGAAUUUAGUCUAAGUAGGAGUUGUUAAAGGUGUCUUAAAUUUCUAAUUGAUGUAUAUUUUUUUCUAAAAAAAUAUUAUAUAGAUAUUUUAAUAAAUGAUUAAUUCUUUGUAAAAAUACUUACAUAAUAAAAAACAUCAUUAAAAAUAUCUUUAUAAAUAUUUUAAGUUACAAGAAGGAAAAAAACCACUGUGAGAUAAUGAUGAACAUGCAACACUGUACCAAGUAAAUAAAAAUGUGAUAAAAAAAAAAGAGAAACACUCGAUAAAGGAAGGCUCGUAUAUAAAGAGUAAUAUUUUUAAUCAUAUGAUAGAAUGAUUUUCUCUCAUUCAUGAAUAUAGGCAAGAUUGGGGAACCAUUAUAAAAUUUUGUACACCUCGUGUAAAUUGAUGUUUGUCUUCAUAUUUUACACCAACAAAUGACAUUGAAGUUGUCAUUGAUAAAAGGGAAAAGGCAUGCCUCCACACCAUGUGCUUGAUUCGAAUGGUUCAAGUUUGAAGAAUUUUCUCCGGAAGAUCUAAAACAUUUUCGCCUUUAAAUUUCAUUUGAUUAUUAAUAUCCGAAAAAAUAGUUAAAUACUCUUUCUAUUUUUGAGUUGUUGAAUUUUUUGAAAGUUUUUAUAUUUGUUAUCAAGAAUUUCUAUUUUAUUAAGGGUGAAUAUUUAUAAAUAAGAUAUUAUAUAAUAUUUGGAUAAGAGAGAAUGGUGGAAUAUAAUAAAGUUUUAAUCCUUCCCAAUUUUGAACCUUUUUUUUUUUUUUUGAUAUAAUCGCCUUUCUCUUGCAAUCCUAUUAUCAGGUACCUUAUAUUUGCUGAUGCUAUCUGGAACUAAAUUCCAAUCAGGCAUUGUCCAAUUACUAAUAGGACAGAUCAUAUCUCUCUGUUUCUAAACUAACAUGUAUCGUAAUGUGACCUCAUAAGGAAGGCUAGGAAGAUGGAGGAUUUUGUGGGAAGCGACCAGAAUCAGAUGGAAGAGAGAUAGCCCUGUUGACCUAAUGGCUGUAAUAGGAGAAGCGUGUGGUUUUAUGGGACUUAACUGAUACUAAACCUGUAUGAUGCUUGGAGUGGUGUUUCUUUCAUUUUGUUAAGAAAAUAUGGCAGCAUACAUGCUUUCAACUGAGUGCAUCAGAGCAUCCAUAACAGAUGGUCUGCAACCCUAGGUGCAUGCCACUUUCUGACUGAUAAUGAAAUUGUCAGGUACCUGGCCUUGACUAAGCUCAACAGCAUCACAUAAAGAGAAGCUUUCAUACUUAGAUUACUGUUUAAAGUUUUUGCUUAUUUGAUUUCUUAAUGCCAUUAUGACAUUAUUGAUUCAAUUCUGCUUCCGAUUUUCGAAGUUCUGGGCAUCUACUGAUUGCAUCAUUAUAUGAGAAGUUGCAUGAGUUUAUGUAUCCUGUUAUUGUUCCUUUGCGAUUUCACUGCUCACGGGACUAACCUCUCCAUUCAGUCGAAAUGAAUUGUAAUUUCUUUACUGGUAGCAGUAGUACUUUUCAUAGCAAAGAUAAUAGAAAAUAUGAAAUAUAAAUAGAAGGAAAUCUGGAUUGUAGAUAGCACCAUAAGUAACACUCAAUAUUCACUACAUAAUAAAUAGACAGUGUUACAUAGGUAGAGAAACCUACAAUGAGUACUCAUCACCAUUCUCAAACAGAAACAUAGCAGCGACUUAUACAUAGAACCUAUAGGCUCGCAGGGAAAGAGUAACAUGAUAAGUUCACAGCGGGUAGCAGCUCUUAUUUUACGUAUUACUCAAAAUCUCAAACUAACCAAAGUCACUCAGUUGGGAUGGGUAGGAGAUGGUGGUUUGUGGGGUGGCUUCUGGGUAGGAGCUGGUGGCUUCUUUGUUGGAGUUGAAGGAGGCAUAUUCUUCUGAGGUGGCUUGUAUGACUCUUCGGCACUCUCUGCAGGAGGGUGCCCAGGGUUGUGACCAGAAGGAGGUGGCUUCUGUCCCUUUGGUGGUUUGCCUAAUGGGCUUGGUGGCUUGUGCUCCGGGAGUUGUUUCUCUCCCUCGAGUAGGUUUCGAGUUUUGUCAGAUGGCUUGUGUUCUGGUGGUGGCUUCUCUCCCUGGGGUGGUUUGCCGAAUGGGCUUGGUGGCUUGUGUUCGGGGAGUGGCUUCUCUCCCUGGAGAAGGUUACGAGUUUUGUCAGAUGGCUUUUGUUCUGGUGGCGGCUUCUCUCCCUGGGGUGGUUUGCCAAAUGGGCUUGGUGGCUUGUGUUCGGGAACUGGCUUCUCUCCCUUGGGAGGUUCAUUUGGUGGCUGGUGUUCCGUAGGUGGUUCCUUCACCGGCGGCUUGUGCUCCGGAAGCGGCUUCUCUACCUGGAGAAGCUUACGAGUUUUGUCAGAUGGCUUGUGUUGUGGUGGUGGCUUCUCUCCCGGGGGUGGUUUGCCAAAUGGACUUGGUGGCUUGUGUUCGGGGAGUGGCUUCUCUCCAUGGGGAGGUUUAGUUGGUGGUUGGUGUUGCGUAGGUGGUUUCUGAAGUGGGGGAUGCUUGGGGUAGUCAGCAAUAGACGAGGUAGUGAGAACCACCAGUCCCAACAGCAACACUAGCAAGGAUGUUGAAGACAUCUUUGAGUUCAGGCUGAGAUCUGUGCAAGGAUAAAAGAUUUAGGUGGCCUUUUAUAGAGGGCUGGACCCAACACCCAUAUGACACGUGUCAUGCACUCAUGGUGACACAUAAUUCUAUGGGACCAUUUGGGUCCUACAGAAGUUGCAAAGUUGGACUAUUGAGGUGUGAUCACAACUUUUGUCCUACUUGCUUUCUCUGCGGCCAUUGCACGAUUUCCUUUAGCAUCAUUUUCUUGUCUAAAUAAGCGUAUUAUAUUUGUGGCAGACCGUCCACGUGUCAUAAACAGAUAUAUUAUAAUAAUGUAGUAUGCUUUUCUUCAACGGAACUUGACACUCUUCUAAGUCUUGUUUUAAAUACUGUGCAGGAUUACGUCAUAAGUUGCUUGUUCCAAGUCAAAAUUGGUGGGCAAACGUUGGCCUUUUUUCAUUUUCCCUAAUAUUAAUGCUCACCUGGGAUAGGCACUACAUGAUUUAUCUGCUCUUUUACUGUGAAGUUGCUUUGUGCAUGAGUUACACCUCCCCUGCACACCCUCAACAUUUGUUGCUCUGUUUUUCUUGUGUCCAGACGAGGAUAUUAAUUGGAGGCUGACAAAACGACUGCUAGCCAAGGAUUUACAAGGUCCUGGUUUGAGGCUUUCACGAAAGUAUUUUUGAAAAGAUACACAUAGAGAUUGCGCGUUCGGUGCAAUGCAACAAUGUGAGCCAUUCUGAAGUCUUAAAUUUCAGAUUAAUGAAUGCUACAAAAUUCUAAGAAGGGCCGUUUCCAAAUAUUUGAGUUCAUUCAUCCGAACAUCGGGUAUAUGCUUCUUUCUCUAGCCCCUCCUUGAAGGGAGGAGGGACAAUGUGAUCUGUAUCGUUAGAAGCUAUUCCAUGUCGUCAUCUUUGGGCUCAGUUCAAUACUAAAAGAUAUGGGCGGGGCCCUUAUCAUUUUAUAUUUCUUCUAGAAGGUUUAUUCUGGAAAUCUUUCACAGAAACAUAUCUUUUUCUUCUCUACGUGAUCCGUGGUUUGAAAGUUGGAAAAAUGGGUCCGUUAACAAGCCACCGAGUUGAAAAGUUGGAAAAAUGGCAACACCGCCAACCUCUUGUAUUCGAUAGUUAAAUAAAAGGUCACUGGAAGUGAGAUCCCUUUUGGCCUCUUGAUUUUCAUUCCAGCAUCUCUAUGGCCUGAUAAAUUAAAAAACUAAAAAAAAAGACAGUACGUGGGUUGGUGUUAAGCAUCAAGAGUCAAGACAUGAUAAUGGAGAGAAAGGAUAUUCAAAUUCCAGUUCUGACAACAUGAUUUUCUUUGCUGAACUACCAUAUUAUAUUUGAUCAAGAAAGAGUAGUGCAUGUGGCCAGGAUCAAGACAUACAUUAAUUUCCACAUGAUGAAGACAGUUUCUGAGAGUUUCUUCUAAAGCUCUUGCGCGAGUAGGCUUCAAGUCAAAAUCUCCCAUGUAAACACUGGUUUUUCUUUCAUUGCCACUAAGGAUGCAGUUAAUAUUGACUUAAGAUCCUACGUGAUAUAUUUUUUUAAAAGAGCUAUAUUGUAGAUAAUAUUUGAAAUAAUGUUGAUUCGUUGUGGAAAUAUAUUUGUAAGGAAAGUUGUUGACAAUUUAAUAUAGUAUAAGAAGAAAAAAGUUAUCAACUAGCUAGAGAUGAGUAUGUAAAGUGAGGCUCACGAUUCAACGCGUAAAUAUAAGAUAUUUUAAGGCUCAAUAGUUAUGAUAUCUAUUUUAUUUUUUGUAUCUCAUAUAUUCAAAGAUAUAGUAAAAUGAUUUUACAUAUAUAUAUAUAUAUAUAUAUGAACAUAACUAUUUGUGCCAAUUGAUUUUUAUCUUUAUUUUGUAUAUUAGUAAUUAUAUUAAAGUUUUUACUAAUAUAAUAACUAAUAUAAAAGCUUUUUCUAAAAGAGUCAACAGAGCAAAACACUUAUUAUAAAAAAUAAUUUUGAUUGAAGGUGGAGUCAAUUAUUCUUUAUUUAACAUGUAAUGCAUACGGCGUGUACUUCAUAACUAAAGUAUAUAAGUGUAACAUCUCUUAUAUAUUCUCAUUCAAUCUCGAAAGUGGAAAUUUUAAAAAGAUUAAACGGUUCAAAUUUGUCGUGCAUAAAGGGGAUCAUGUCACAUAAGCAAACCAUGGCAUACCAAAGACAUAGGUAUGGACUAAGAAUUUUUUUCAAAUAAGUUUCUUAUUAGGGUACAUUAAUAGGUGACUUUUUAUGACAUAUCAAAGGAGUCAAGUGCACCAAUAAAAACAUAUAUAGAAAAUUCAUGCAUGACAUGUAUCACUAAGAGAAGAUUGACUUGAUAGAGUUUAAUCCAAAUAGGAGAUUGUUAAAAGGUGUCUCAAAUUCUUGAUUGAUAUAUAUUUUUUUUAUUAAAAAGGUUAUUAUAUAGAUAUUUCAAUAGACUAUUAAUUCUUUGUAAAAAUAGUUAUAUAAUGAGGAUGGUGAUUAAAAAUAUCUCUAUCAAUAUUUUGGAUUAUAAAAAGAAAAAAAAUGAGAUAAUGAUAAACAUAUAAAACUUGUACAAGUAGAUAAAGAUGUGAUGAAAGACACUUGAUGAAUGAAGGCUUUGUAUUUCAAGAUAUAAAUAUAUGGAGCAAAACUCUUAAUUAUAUGAUCAAAUGAUUCUCUCAUAUUCAUGAAUAUAAGCAGGAUUGGGGAACCAUGAUAGAAUCUUAUAUGCCUCUCCAUGUAGAGUGAUCGAUGUUUAUCUUCAUAUUUUACACCAGUGAAUGACAUUGAAACUCUUAUUGAUAAAAGGGAAAAGGCAUGGCCUCCACCCCAAGAAAAACAAGUAACCUCGGUUUAAAUCACUAGUCUACACCCCGAAGAGAGAACUAGCCAAACCUACUAAAAGAGAAACUUAACAAUUUAGAAAGAAACCGUCCAUGAUAAAGGGCCCCUAAAGGUCCAAUUCAGUGAGGUCGUGAACAAAAACACUUUCAUGUCAAAACAGAGAUAGGUACCACCAAAAUGUAAAGGGAAAGAUGUAAACCACGUCGAACUUUGGUAAUCAAUGGUAAAGAUAGCAUGAUAGCUAAAAGCACUAAAGCUGUGCUUGGUAUGCAAAAAUGAAAAGUGGAAAUCAGCGUCUUAUUCUUUUUCACCUUUAUUCACAUAUUAGGAUAACUAAUAUCUAAUGUUUUUUAUGUCUCAAAUUCUAUUCCAUGUUAUGGUAAACUUUCAUCUUGUUUAGAUCACUUUUGUCUGGUUUGGGCUCAAGACGAUAAGCCUAUAGAGACUUCAUAUUGGGUUGAAUCGAUGCCCUUGAUCUGAUCUGUUCGUUAGAAAAAUCUGAAUUAUUAUAAGCAUUUAGAUAAAAAAUAAAUAAAUGUGAAACACAAACUACUCCCUGCACAACCUUGACCCUAGUUACUCAGUUUCACUGCUCACAGGACUAACCUCUCCAUUCAGUCGAAAUGAAUUGUAACAAGAAGAUUUUUGACAGGAGGACGGUAGUUUAAAAUAAUAAUUUCUAAAGUACUUUUGUGAAAAAAAAUAAUUCCAAACGUGGAUUUUAUCAAGUAAAAAGAAAAAAAAAAGUUAUUUUCUUUUAAAAUCUGUUCUUCUAAAGAUGAUAUAUAUACCAAAAAAAAAAAUUGUUUUCUGAAGGUAAAAUUUUUAAAAUUCAUUUUUAAAAAAAUUUACACACUAAAAUUAUCUUUUCAAGAGAAGAUUUUUUUAAUUUUAAAUAAUUAUUAAUUUAUAAUUAAUUUGUUAUUAAUUAUUUAUUAAUUUUUUUAUUUGAAAAAUGCAUUUAUAAAAAACAAAUUUGUUAUUAAUUUAUUAAAUAAUUUUUACAAAAUAAAUAAUUUUUUUUUAUUUUAAUUUUAAAAUUAAUUUUAUUAUAUAAAUUUUAAAAUUAAAAAUAUUAAUAUUUAAUUUAAAAUUUAACUAUAAAAGGAAUAAAAUAUAGAAAAAUAAAUUAAUUUAUUAUUCAAUAAAUUAAUUUUCAAUAAAAUUUUCAGCAUUAAGAGAUAAAUUUUUAAGUAUUAAUCAAUUUAAAAAGAAAUAAUGAUCAUUUGUAUAUUAAGAUAUUUUAUUUAGUAAUUAUGAAUGAUAAACAACUAAAGUAAUUUGAAAAAAUAAUAAAAUAUUUAAAAAAUAAUAAUUUAAUACACGUAAAAUUAGAAAUGAUUAACUAUUUUUUAUUAAGAAAAAAUUGAGGAAAUAUUUUGUUAUUUAAAAUUUUUUAUUUGUUUUCAAUUUUUAAUGUUAUAGGUUUCAAGAAAAUUGAUCAAAUAAAAAUUAAGAAGUCAUUUUUUCAAAAACUAUAUAUCUAAAUAAAAGCCUUGAAAUUCAAAUACACAAUAUCAUAAAUAUAAACACCAAGUCAAUCCUUAAUUAUCAAAUGUUUUUAAUAUUAAAGAAUCAAAAUCACCUACUAUCAUGAUAAUAAGAAAACCAAUAAUAUUGUUCAUAUAAAUACUAAAAAGCUAACAAAUAUCCCAAACAAUUAAUAAAGUAUCAAACAUGAUAAAAAGUCAAUUAUUAUCAUGAAUGCAAAAAAUCAAUAAUUUUGUUUAUAUGAACCAUCAACAAAGAAAAAAAAAAUCAAUAUCUAAAUAUUAAACAUAAUUUAUAUUUUUAUAAAUAUUAUUGUUGAUAAAUAUCUUAACAAUUAUAAUUUUAGUAAAUAAAAUUAAUUAAUUUUAGUUUAAGAAUUAUUUUUUUAUACUUUCGUAUUCUUAUCAAAAAUCCCCAUUUUGCAUGUCUCCUUUGGCAUGACUUUCUUACCUAAACAAGCAUAUAUAUAUAUAUAUAUAUAUAAAAUAUUUGGUUAAGAAAGAGUACUAAAGUUUAUAUGGCACACAUCAAGAUAGAAACAGAAGUGGAAGAUAAUCCAAAUGUAUGAACAGAUAUAUUAUAUCCAUGUAGUGGUAGUGACUUCAUUAUUUACUUUUAUCUAAUGGAGCAUGACACACUUCUUCUGAAUAUUUUGCACGAUUAUGUUAUGUGUCAGCUUGUUCUAAGUCAAAACUAGUGAUAAAAAUCGGUUUUUUUUGCAUUUCCUUCAUGAAGAUGGCACCUGGAUGGGGCACUACAUGAGUGGCAUAGCACGAAGUGAUUUAUCUGCUCCCUUUACUAUAAAGUGCUUUGUGUAUAAGUUACACCUCCCCUGCACUGCCUCAACAUUUGUUGUUCUGUCUUCCGUCUGUCCAAACGAGGACAAACGUAUGUUGUAGGUUGACAAAACCACAGCUAGCCUAGGAUUUGCAAGGAUCUAGUUUGAUUCGUAUGCAAAAGGAUUGGUGAAAAGAUUCACAAAGAUAAUGCUUUUUGCAAUGCAAUCUUGUUCUAAUUCAACAGUGUGGACCAUUUUCAUGUAAUGCUUCAACUAGAUGUCAGUUUCAUGAAUUUUUGUUCAUCUAAUUGAUCACUGGAUAGGCCAUAACCCGAAGAAAUUCAAAAUUCCCUUCAGUACUGUAGCUAAGGAAAGAUCCCUAUCUACCACUGGGAUUUUAAGAGGGUAAAAAUGUAGGUGGGUGCCUAUAUCAUUUGCACUUCACUAUAGGCCUCUUUGGGAAGAUUUCUUCUGAAGACAUUUCAAAGAAACAUAUUUUUCUCUUCUCUCCGUAAACGGCAGCUGCAAGUCAGUCCAUUCACAGGCCACCGAGUUGAAAAGGCUGGAAAAUUGGCCAAAGCACCCGCCUCCUGGAUUCCAUGGGUAAGGAAAAGGUCACUGGAGGUGUGAUCCCUGUUGGCCUCUUGAUUUCCAUUCCGCCAUCUAUAUGACCUGAUAACCCAAAAACACAGAAGGAAAACGUCACCUGGGUUCAUAGUAAGCAUCAAGUCAUGAUAGAGACCAGACAACAUGACCAACAAAGAGUAGCGAAUGGGGCCAACAUCAAGCCCCAUUACGGUUAGAAGAUGGAAGAAGUAGAAGACAAUCCAAUUCUGAUAGAUUCGGGCAAAUGUAGUGCUGUUCAAACUUAAUCAUUUACUAUUUCUUCAUGAAUCACGGCAUUUUUCUUCUGAAAAUUUUCCAAGAUUAGGCCUCUGAAGAAAAAUUUCAUAUGUAAAUUGGUAUAUUAAGGAAAAGGCGUUACAAAGGUGAAAAAAAACCAAUCAAAUCUUAUAUAUGACAUCUCAAAAAUAUGAACUUGCUAUAAAUAUUUAAAAUCAAAAUCUUGCACAUCACCUCGUAGUACGAACUUGCUAUAAAACUUGAAAAUCAAGAAGAAAGGGGCAGUAUUGGACGAGACUACUUAGCACAUAUUAUUAUGAUGUUUUUUCAUUUUCUUAAUGUUGUUUUUAUGUCUUAAAUUCUAUUAUUCUAUGUUACGGUAAACAUUCAUCUUGUUUGUGUGGAAUAGGAUCACUUUUCUCUGGGUUGAGUCGAUGCCCUUAGUUAAUUUGUUCAUUUGAAUAAACUAAAUUAUUAUAAGUAUUUAGAUAAGAAAAACGUGAUACAUAAAUUACGCCUCUCGGCACAACUUCAACACUGGUUACUCUGUUUCAGUUUCCUCACACAAGAUUAUUGGUUCUAGGGUUUAUUUGGUUUUGGUUUGAUUCUAAUUGCUAAACUUUCUCAAGGAAGAUGUUAUAUAGGGAGUGAGAAACCUUCACUCUUGGCUACCUCCAAGAGAAGAGCAAGUGGUCUGAAUCAAAGAUAUACUGCUCACUUUUUCUUCUUCUAAGGACAGCUAUGACCUUGCUUUAAGGUUCGAAUAGCCUAAUGCAACCUCCCAUUUCUCAAGUCAGCUGAUGAUGUAAGUCACCUUGGCUUUCCACAUUCAUACGGUGAGGACGUUUGUGGGUGUAAUUCUCUUAACAGUUUUCAUUUUAUAUGGAAAAAUUCAUAAUUAAGGGUAAUUACUGAUUCCAUUUGACAGUGACCAAGUUUAAAAUAUUAAUUCAUAUAUUAAAUGCACAUUAAAAAAUCAUGGAAUAAAUAUAUUUACUAAUAUAUAGUUCUUUUGCCAUGUUCUGUCACAGAAGCAUCGAACUUUCCCUAGAAAUUUUUGCAUGGUAUUCUACUUAUGAUUUUGAAAACUCUAGGCACCUGAGGCCACUAAUUGCAUGGUUGGAUGAGGAGCUGCAUGAGAUUAUGUAUCGUGUUGUUCCUUAACUACAAAUAUCAGUUUUAAGUAGCAUCUCCAUGUGACAUUUUCCUGAUGCAAUUUCGCUGUCCACCAACAAAUUUCACCAUGCAGCAAGAUGAAUUGUAAUUUCUUUAUUGUUAUCAACAGCUUUAAUUAAUCUUGAUAUAUAUAUAUAACUUAGUAGAAGUAUAUUAAUCUAGAUUGUAGUUGCACUAAGAUAAUAGGCAAUAUUAUAACAGUGCCACAAUGCUCAUCGCCAAAUAGAAAGGUAGAAAAACUACAAUGAGUAACUCACAACAUUCUCAAACAGGACAUAGCGGCGACUGAUACAUAGAACACUAUUGGCACUCAGGAAAUGAUAAGAUCAGUGCCCAGCAGGCAGCACGUCUUAUUUUACAUACUACUUAAAACUAACCAAAGUCAUUCAGUUGGGAUGGGUGGGAGAUGGUGGUUUGUGCGGUGGCUUUUGGGUAGUUGGUGGCUUCUUUCCUGGAACUGAUGGUUUUUUUGUUGGAGUUGAAGGAGGCUUAAUCGUCUGAGGUGGCUUGUAUGAGUCUUCAGCACUCUCUGCGGGAGGGUGCCCAGGGUUGUGACCAUAAUGGGGUGGCUUCUCUCCCUUAGUUGGUUUGCCAAGUGGGCUGGCUGGCUUGUGCUCCGGGAGCGGCUUCUCUCCCUUAGGUGGUUUGCCAAAUGGGCUUGCUGGCUUGUGCUCUGGGAGCGGCUUCUCUCCCUCAAGAAGUUUACGGGUUUUGUCAGAUGGCUUGUGUUCUGGUGGUGGCUUCUCUCCUUGGGGUGGUUUGCCAAAUGGACUUGGUGGCUUGUGUUCGGGGAGUGGCUCCUCUCCCUUGGGAGGUUUAGUUGGUGGCUGGUGUUCCAUAG